AAUUGAUAUAUUUAAUUUUUAUAUUAGUGUUAAAAAUAGCUAUAAUUUUUAAAAGUUUAUAAAAUUUUUAUGUUUAAUUAAUUAUUUAGAAAUAAUUAUUUAAUUAAUAAUUUAAAGUAAUGUGAAUGAAUAUUUUUAAAUAAAGAAAAGUAGAAUUAUUUUUGUACCUUUUGUAUCAGGGUUGAUUAAAAUUUAUUUAAUAAAUUUAAAUAUCUCGAAAAUAAGUGAGCUAAAUUUGUAAUAUUUUUUUUGUUGCAAUAAAAUUAUAAAUAUAAAUUUAGAGAUUAAAUGUCAUUCGAACUUAUUGAUAUCUAGUUUUUUUAGAAAUAAAUUUAAUUUAGAUAUAAAAUUUUUAAUACCUUAAAAUUUAUUUAUAGUAUUAAUUUUUAUAUUAAAAAUUUAUGGGAUAAACUAUAAAUUUAUUUAUAAAAAUUUUUGAUUUUAUUUAUAAUAUUAUGAAGUUAAUAUUUUUUAUUAAUAUAAAAAAUUUAAUAAUUUAGUUAUUAAUUUUUAAAAAAUUUAAAUUUUGAAUUUUAUUUAUUCUAUAAAAACAUAUAUUUUAAUUUUUAAGAUAUAGUGAUAAUGAUUAAAUUAGUAAUAAAAGUAUAUUUAAUAAUAUAUAAAUUAUUUAUAUAUAUAUAAUUUAAAGGAACUCGGCAAAAUUGAUUAUUCACCUGUUUAACAAAAACAUGGCCUAUUGAGUAUAAUUUUAGGUCGAUCUGCUCCAUGAAAUAAAUUUAAAUAGCUGCAGUAUAUUGACUGUACAAAGGUAGCAUAAUAAAUUGUCUUUUAAUUGAAGAAUUGAAUGAAUGAAUUGAUGAAAUAACAACUGUCUCUAUUUUAUUUAAUGAAUUUAAAUUUUUAGUAAAAAUUCUGAAAUUUAAUUAUGGGACGAUAAGACCCUAUAGAAUUUUAUUUAAUAUAAUUAUUUAUUUAAAUUAUUUGUGAAUAUAUAAUUAAUUUAAAUUUGAUUGGGAGGAUUGGUAAAUAAAAAUAACUUUAUCUAAAAAUUAAUUUUGAUGAAAAGAUUUUUUUUGACUUAUAAUUUAUGAUUAAAAGAAUAAAUUACCUUAGGGAUAACAGCGUAAUAUCUUUUGAUAGACCACAUUGAUAAAGAUGUUUGCGACCUCGAUGUUGAAUUAAGAGAAAAGUUAAACGCAGGAGUUUAAAAUUUUAAGUCUGUUCGACUUUUAAAAUCUUACAUGAUUUGAGUUCAAAUCGACGUAAGUCAGAUUGGUUUCUAUCUAUAAUAAAAUUAAAAUUAUUUGUACGAAAGGACUUUAAUUUUUAAAUUAUUUAUAUUAUUAAUUAAUGAAUAUAUUAAUUUG